rnacentral:rRNA from 1 species
AGANUAAGCCAUGCAUGUCUAAGUAUAAAUGUUAUACAGUGAAACUGCGAAUGGCUCAUUAAAACAGUUAUAGUUUAUUUGAUAAUCGAANUNNCAUGGAUAACCGUGGUAAUUCUAGAGNUAAUACANGNUGGUUAGCCUGACUUUUAGGAAGGGCUGUAUUUAUUAGAUAACAAACCAAUAUUCCUCGUGUCUAUUGUGACGACUCAUAAUAACUGAUCGAAUCGCAUGGACUUUGUCCGCGAUACAUCAUUCAAGUUUCUGCCCCAUCAGCUUUCGAUGGUAGUGUAUUGGACUACCAUGGCUUUAACGGGUAACGGAGGAUUAGGGUUCGAUUCCGGAGAGGGAGCCUGAGAAACGGCUACCACAUCUAAGGAAGGCAGCAGGCGCGUAAAUUACCCAAUCCUGACUCAGGGAGGUAGUGACAAGAAAUAACGGACCGAAGCCUAUGUUUCGGGAUUGCAAUGAGUAGAAUUUAAACCCCUUUGCGAGGAUCAAUUG